UACGUAGGUGGCAAGCGUUGUCCGGAUUUACUGGGCGUAGAGAGCGCGCAGGCGGUCGUUCAAGUCGCGUGUGAAAGCCCCCGGCUCAACUGGGGAGGGUCACGCGAUACUGAUCGACUCGAAGGCAGGAGAGGGUAGUGGAAUUCCCGGUGUAGUGGUGAAAUGCGCAGAUAUCAGGAGGAACACCGGUGGCGAAGGCGGGUCUCUGGGCCGAUACUGACGCUGAGGAGCGAAAGCGUGGGGAGCGAACAGG
rnacentral:rRNA from 1 species